GACAGAGGUGCCAAGCGUUAGGCGGAAUCACUGGGCUUAAAGCGUGUGUAGGCGGACUUCUAAGUACCUUGUGAAAUCCCACGGCUCAACCGUGGAACUGCUCGGUAUACUGGUUGUCUUGAGCCACUUAGGGGCUACCGGAACAAAUGGUGGAGCGGUGAAAUGCGUAGAUAUCAUUUGGAACGCCAAUGGUGAAAACAGGUAGCUGGGAGUGUGCUGACGCUGAGACACGAAAGCCAGGGGAGCGAACGGG
rnacentral:rRNA from 1 species